GCUGCUCCGCGGCAUGUGGGAUCUUCCUGGCCAGGGCUUGAACCCGUGUCCCCUGCAUUGGCAGGCGGAUUAUUAACCACUGCGCCACCAGGGAAGCCCUGUGAACUAGAGCGUUUUCAUGUGGCGAAGUAUUUAUGCUACAAUGGAAAAACUAACGUGUACAUUUUGCAUUUUGAAAAACAAAUUGGAAAGCUACUAUCGUCACUGGGUAGGAUUAGUAGUUACUUUUCUUUGCCUUUAUAGUCCCCAGAUUUUCUACAGUUGUAUUUUUAAGCUCAGAAAGAAAACAAAAACACGCAGGCAGUCAGUCACACCUGCUUUUACUCACCAUUUUGUUUUCUGGCUCUUCUGUAGUCUUCCCUUUCUUUAUUGUAAUUUGAACUUUGUACUUUUUCUCGAUCCACUGCUGAAUCUGUUUACUCUUUGUGUCCAAAUCAUGUUGUCCAAUAUUUGAAGAAAAAGUCAGUUCCUUUGUCAGGGUGGGUCCUGGUUUGAAAGAGUGAGACUUGGCGCUAGUCUGUGUGAGGCCUGUGCUUCAUCACAUGCUCGUCCUAAGUCUACGUUGCUACAGGGGCCCUACAAGUCCUCCUGUCCAGUAGCUUCACAUGCCCGUAAACAUUCAAACACGGGAGACAGACACAGGUAAAAUACCAGUUUUUUACCUGCCAAGUAAGAGUAUUUCAACAUGGAAUGCUUCUGUUUAUCAUUACCAUUGUCUGAUGAAAGAACAAAGAAGUGGUCCUUUAAAAGGAACCAGUUAAUCCUUAUUCUUAUUUUGGAUGGUGGGUAACAGGUGUUUAUUAUGUUUUUUCUUUAGGCUUUCUUUUCUUAUAUUUUUUCUUCUUUAAAUUAAUUUUUCUAAAAAGGAGUUCUUUUAUUAACACCUCUUUGCUUCCUUACAGCUCCUACCAGCUGGUCUGAGUUCUCUGUCAGCCCUUCAGCCAUCUCUGAACCAGGCUUCUCAGGCUGUCCACCUUUCUGUUGUAAACGUGACAUAGUUUGAUGUCCUUAUCACCCUAGCUGGCCUCUGGAUAGUUUUUGUUUUCCAGUCAACGUCUCUGUUGUUAAAUGUGGUGUCAGAAAAUUGACACGUGGCCUUACUGUGCACUCUGGAGCCUUCUGACCUCUGUCCCAGUGUGUUUUCUGUAAUGAUCAGCACUUACUAGGAAUCAUGAAAAGCAAACCUCUUCACUUAAUAUCCAACUCACGGCUUCUGUACGGUUUAAAUGACAAGAGAGUUGGCACAUCACGUGAGCGUUCCUACCCUUACUGUGACGAAACGGGCGUGGGGCACGCUCCAGGAAUCACUUCAGAGUUAGGGAGUGCUUCCGUGUGAUUAACUGCACACGCACGCGCGCGCGCGCUUGGAGAUGAUGGGAGCAGGGGAGGAGGGCGCCCCGACAGGUGAGCGGCCCAGGACAUGACCAGGAGCCCACCCCACCUGUCCACGUCGUCAUGCCCUUGUGCAGUGGAAGGCCAGGCAGCCGUCGGGGGGUUAAGGGGUUCCCAUUAUUUUGGUGGUGGUCACCUUGUUUUCCCCUCAUUUUACACAGGUGUAGAGGAAGACAUGACAGACACAAGAGUAGCAAGGAAAAUAGAAAAAAAGGGAUAGAAAUAAGUGGACGAAAAAGACACUGGAAACGGUGGUGAAAGGACGGCUCAGCUUCUCACUGGCCUGUUGUCACAGGGGCCCUGGCAAAUGCCUGACCUCAGCUGCGGAUGUGCAGUCCUGAGGACCUCGGGGGCAGACAGCAAGGUACCUACCAGGCUUGGGCUCGGCCCUCUCCAUCCCUCUGAGCCGGAGCCGCUCCUGGUAGAUCUGCGUGCCCGUCAUGAGCUGGUACUGCGGGGGCUGGGCGCCGGGGUCCCUCGGCACCAGCCGCAGGUCCUGCUCGGCCAUGAGCCUGAUCACGUUCGCUCGGUGCAUGGGGCCCAGGUCGUUGCCCUUCUCGUCCAGCACCUGAAUGAUGCGCUCGUUAAUUUUUCUUCCAACGUUACGAAAAGCUGUUUCAUUCUUUUUUUUCUUUUCUCUCUUGUCCUGGGUGUCUUCAGUACUAAAAGCUUCUGCGUGAAUGAGGCAGGACGGUCUUGGGGCAGAGGCAAUGUGGGAUGGUUCCGCCAGCGCCGUCUUCUGUACGACGUAUUUACCCAAACGUCUUCUAAUGCAAGUAUUUUCCGUUUUUAUAGUUUGUAAUGUUAACCUCUUUAGCAAAAGAGCAGCCAUCCUAAAAAGCAGGGAGAAAAGCUCACUGAAGUCCGAUCACUCAUUCCCCUGGGUCGGUGCUGUGGAACAUGGAGGGCGUGUGUGAGCCUGUGGGAACCUCACCUGUGAACACUGCAGGUCCAUGCACAGGAAACUUAAAAGUUAUCUUAGUUGACUCCGUUCCCCAUGGAUCUCACAGUGCUGGCUCCAAAAGCAGAUACAGUCUAAGGCUUUAUUUAGGACGAUGCAGAACAUUGAAUCCCUGGUGACUCACAAACACCUCUUCAUGAACGUAGUGAACAACUCAUCAGUACAUCUGACGGUCUACAAAAGGUAAGAACACUGUUAUGGGAAAGGGGACCCUCCAGGAAGACAGCUGACCCCCUGGAAGGAUGAACUGGGACUCUCAGAAAGGAAAUGCCCUGACAUUAGAGUGGCCUCAUAAACUACAUCCAUCGCUCACAAGGCAGGUGCUGCACUGCAGCCGAAGGUAGACCUAAGAAUUGUCUGAGGGAGUGACGAGAGGACCCGUUCAUCUCAUCUAGGGUUUGCUGAGAAACACGAGAGAAUCAAGAACUCAGAGAGCAGAUCCCACUGUUCACCCUCUAAAAAUCGGGAUCCAAGCACUCCACCUUCUCCCUCGCUGUCUAUCACCCUGCCCCUGACACGCCCUCAUCUCUCACCUGGAUCAGGUCCCAGCCUCCUGACCGCCCUCCCCGCUGCUGCCCCUGCCCCUUAAAACAUGGAAGUCAGGCCGCGGCGCUCCUCUGCCCACAGCCCUCCGCGGCCCCCACCUCGCUGCAGAGCCCCCGGCACCAGGCCCCCACCCACCCCUGCCCACAGCACCCGCCCCGCUUCCUGCACUCCCUGUCCCAACCGCACGGGCCUCCCUGCCAUUCCUGUAAACGCCGGGCGCGCCCUCCCCCCAGCCCCCGCCCCGGGUGGGAUCCUCUCCCUCAGACGAUGCCAGUUCAUUUACUUCUCGGCGAGGCCUUCCCUGUCCACUCUGUCAACGGCACAUCCCAUCCUUUCAAACCCACGACCUUGCCUUUUAAAGAGAUUCACUGAUGACAUGCACUGAUCUACACACGAACACUCAGUCUUUCCUCAAUGGAACGUAAGCUUCAUGAGAAAACGUCACUUGUCUACUUCGUUCACUGCUGUGCUCCCCACACUACCGCCUACAGCCUGUCUCAGUACGUACAGCCGUCCUCGGUAUCCACGCGGGACUGGUUCCAGGACACCUGGCGUGGACGCCAAACUCCGAGGAUGCUCAAGUCCCUUAUAUAAAAAGCUGUCGUGUUCGCACAUAACCUAUGCACAUCCUCCUGUACACUCUGAAUCAGCUCUAGAUUACUUAUAAUACCUAAUACGAUGGAAAUGAUAUAUAAAUAGUUGCCUGGCACAGUCGCUUUUUGGAACUUUCUGGCAAUUUUUUCUUUUUCGAGUAUUUUCAGUCAUGGUUGGUUGCAGCCACGGAUGUGGAACCUGUGGAUACGGAGGACUGACUGUACGUGCUGAAUGAAUGCGUGAGCCCAAGGAAACCGCCAGGAGGCAGGCGGUGUCUGGGGGCAAAUCUCCAGGUCGUCACGUGCAUCAGCGCCCCCCACCGCAGAUGCGCCGUAAGAGUGCUCUUUUCAUUCUAGAGAUACUGAACUUUCCUCCGUAUAUUUUCUUCCUUUAUUCAAAAGCUGGGGCCCUUUUUUCCAGGAGUAUUCAAUCAUACCGCUGUGUCAGUUUUCUUCUGGUGCUCUUCUAUAGUAUCGUGAGAAGAUAUUGUCAGAUUUAUGAAUGAACCUUGAAUAAAAUGAUCCAUGCUUUACAAAAAAAAAAAAAAAUUCCCAGCUGGCAUUUCAAAUGUCCACCAACCUCAGUGAGCUCUACGGCCAGAUGUUUCAUCCACAAUGAAUGGGUUACCUGACGGUCAUGAACUGGGGAUGCAGAUGCUGUAAAGGCUCCACAGUGGGACUGAACUGGGUUUUAAAUAGCUGAGAUACUUACUGUUCAAUAACAGACACUCAGACACUUGUUGCCACAUGGCGGAAGCCGGCAAACCAAACAGAAAAGUCUGAAGACACUGGAGACGACUUUUCCAUUAUCCUCAGAAAAAGAGCAGCAGCAGCAGCAAGUCCCAGAGUUCAGUAUGAGUUAGGAUGAAGCUAGCAGUUACAGACGAAAGCUAGUGUGCCCUGUGUAAUGAGUUACCAACACGUUACAUAGAAAGUACUAUUCAAUAAGUAGGAUUUUGUAAAACAAGGAAGCGAAUGAACAAACUAGGCACAGGAGAAAGAUGAAAAGAAAUUUAAGAAGAACCCUGUGGUUUCCUUAAGGUUGAAGACACAGUAAUUUUCAUUCCCCUAUUCUUCCUAAUUACCAUUAUUUUUCUAAUUUUUUUUUUUU